GACGAACGCUGGUGGCGUGCUUAACACAUGCAAGUCGAACGAGAGGCGAACGGGUGAGUAACACGUCGGUGCUCUGCCUUGGACUUCGGGAUAAGCUAGGGAAACUGGGUCUAAUAACGGAUAGUGGAAGAUGAGCUCGCGGACUAUCGGCUUGUUGGGGGGGUAAGUGCUACCAAGGCGCGACGGGUCGCCGGCCUGGGAGGGUGUCCGGCCACAUUGGGACUGAGAUACGGCCCAGACUCCUACGGGAGGCAGCAGUGGGGAAUAUUGCACAAUGGGGGGAAGCCUGAUGCAGCGACGCCGCGUGGGGGAUGACGUCCUUCGGGUUGUAAACUCCUUUCGACAGGGACGCGGUACUUGUAGAAGAAGCACCGGCUAACUACGUGCCAGCAGCCGCGGUAAUUC
rnacentral:rRNA from 1 species